rnacentral:rRNA from 1 species
UACGGAGGGUGCUAGCGUUGUUCGGAAUCACUGGGCGUAAAGGGCGUGUAGGCGGUCUGUUAAGUCUGAUGUGAAAUCCCCUCGCUCAACGAGGGAACUGCGUCGGAUACUGGCAGACUUGAGUACCGGAGAGGAAGGUGGAAUUCCCGGUGUAGCGGUGAAAUGCGUAGAUAUCAGGAGGAACACCGAUGGCGAAGGCAGUGUUCUGGGCCAGUACUGACGCUGGAGGAAGCGAAAGCGUGGGGAGCGAACAGG